CAAAUGUAUUGUUGACGUAUUCUGAAAGGGAUACUUUCUUCGGACAAUAUACAAGGUGCUGCAUUGGUUGUCGUCAGCUCGUGCCGUGAGGUGUCGGGUUAAGUCCCAUAACGAGCGCAACCCCUAUCAUUUAGUUGCCAUCAGGUCAAGCUGGGGACUCUAAUGAAACUGCCUACGCAAGUAGUGAGGAAGGUGGGGAUGACGUCAAAUCAGCACGGCCCUUACGUCCAGGGCUACACACGUGCUACAAUGGCCGAUACAGAGGGCAGCUACCUGGUGACAGGAUGCAAAUCUCCAAAGUCGGUCUCAGUUCGGAUCGGAGUCUGCAACCCGACUCCGUGAAGUUGGAUUCGCUAGUAAUCGCGCAUCAGCCAUGGCGCGGUGAAUACGUUCCCGGGCCCU
rnacentral:rRNA from 1 species